rnacentral:rRNA from 1 species
AACGAACGCUGGCGGCAUGCCUAACACAUGCAAGUCGAACGAGAUCUUCGGGUCUAGUGGCGCACGGGUGCGUAACGCGUGGGAAUCUGCCCUUUGGUUCGGAAUAACAGUUGGAAACGACUGCUAAUACCGGAUGAUGACGAAAGUCCAAAGAUUUAUCGCCAGAGGAUGGGCCCGCGUAGGAUUAGCUAGUUGGUGUGGUAAAGGCGCACCAAGGCGACGAUCCUUAGCUGGUCUGAGAGGAUGAUCAGCCACACUGGGACUGAGACAUGGCCCAGACUCCUACGGGAGGCAGCAGUGGGGAAUAUUGGACAAUGGGCGAAAGCCUGAUCCAGCAAUGCCGCGUGAGUGAUGAAGGCCUUAGGGUUGUAAAGCUCUUUUACCCGGGAUGAUAAUGACAGUACCGGGAGAAUAAGCUCCGGCUAACUCCGUGCCAGCCGCCGCAGUAA